CCUACGGGUCGCACCAGUGGGGAAUAUUGCACAAUGGGGGAAACCCUGAUGCAGCCAUGCCGCGUGUAUGAAGAAGGCCUUAGGGUUGUAAAGUACUUUCGGUAAUGAGGAAGGUAAUUAUUCUAACAGGAUAAUUAAUUGACGUUAAUUACAGAAGAAGCACCGGCUAACUCCGUGCCAGCAGCCGCGGUAAUACGGAGGGUGCGAGCGUUAAUCGGAAUGACUGGGCGUAAAGGGCAUGUAGGCGGAUAAUUAAGUUAGGUGUGAAAGCCUUGGGCUCAACCUGAGAAUUGCACUUAAAACUGGUUAUCUAGAGUAUUGUAGAGGGAGGUAGAAUUCGACGUGUAGCGGUGAAAUGCGUAGAGAUGUGGAGGAAUACCGGUGGCGAAGGCGGCCUCCUGGACAGAUACUGACGCUGAGAUGCGAAAGCGUGGGGAGCAAACAGGAUUAGAUACCCCCGUAGUC
rnacentral:rRNA from 1 species